ACCAGCCUAAAAAGCUAAAAGGGACAAGGAUUUUCUCUGGAAAUCACAGUGCGAUCUGCCAAGAAGUGUGCAGCACUUAGUCUUUUUUGGCUGACUUUCGGCGUAGGAAAACAAGGCAGUUACGUAGGAUGACAGACUGCAAAAUACUGGAGCCCUCAUGCUUGUUUCCUUGGGAAAGCAAGAUGGAUUCCUUUGCAGUGGAGGCUCCCUUGGCUCCAAAUGCAGCUGCCAUCCACCAGGACAAGAG